CAGAAAUGGACUUGCUGACAUUGGUUUAGUUUGUUAACUCUUAAGCUGUUAAUGGCUUUUGCUGUUUUCUAAACUAGUGUUUUUCUACUUAUUGCAGUCACUUAGUCUGCUUUCUGUUGGUGGAGAUGGUAGUAUUUUGUAAGGCUAACAAACAGCUUGUGCCCAAUUACAGGUAUUAACUAAGGAUGGAUCCCCCCUUCCCCAGUACACCACAUGUAGUAUGAUGAUGCAGCAUGGUGGUUAAGGAGUUCAACAUCAAUUUUGUUAAGCCUUACUCUUUUACAAACAAAGCAGUGUUUACUAAUCUUUCUGGGUUUAGUACUAACCCAUACCAGAAAAGUGUUUAACAAGCAGUCCUACGCAUCACUGCCACUUUCCAAUGACUGUGUGAUUUCUCUAGAAGAUGGAGUGACUAUGUUUCAAGACAGGAAGAAGUCUAAAUAUUGGCCAGCUGUGGAUUAAACAUUGUGCUUCUAGCCUUUGUCAAUUUGGUAGGUCAAACCUGUGCCUAUAGCAAGUCUCCAACAAGAAAUGGCAGGUUAGGAAACUCUGAGGUUGACUGGGUCAUGCAUGGACUUGCUGAAGGACGUUUCGUACUUUUCUUGUUAGUGUAAGGUCAGUGUUGUAGUUGAAUAAACUUUAAAAUGGCUUUUGCUACUCCUGUAUAUUGUAUGUUUGUAGUAACAGAUGCUCAGCAAGUGCUUGUUUUGAGAUAUUUAUUUAUUGUUUUCUAAGGACCACGCAUGCAUCAAAGGCUCUUUUUGGCCUUUGAUACUGUACGUUAGGUGAAGUGACUAUUUGCCUCAUGAAUGUUUUGCCAAGUGUGUUGUGCCUGGAGCUGGAGCUGGCUCUUAAAAGUGUCCCCGGUCGCAGACCUGGUAGGAUGUAGAUGUAAGUUAUCUGUGAAAGAAAAUUCCCCGUCUGUAACAGCAUUUUGAAAUGCUUUUAUUUACACUGUACUGCCAACCUGCUUGGGCAUAACUUCAACUGAAGCUCACUUCCAGAAUGGGUAUAGAGAGUUGCAGCUUCCAAACAGAAAUAACUUGAGGUGUUGCAUGUUUAAGAGGACACAAUGCACUUGUGCUGCUCGCCCAAUGUCCGUGUGCUAUGCAAGGCACGCCUGGGAAGUGAGAUGGCGUGUCACAAAGGAGUUGGAUCUGGGGAUGACUGAGGACUGAUUUCUCAUCAGAACUGGAACUGUGUAACAUGAGAGCUAUAUUCAACCACCGAAAAAGUUCAAUUUAAGCAGCAGCUGUAUUUAAAUAAUUGUUUUCAACAGUUCUUGUGAGAGCAAACUGUGAAAUUUAAGAUCAAGGAAUAACCUUGUUAGCAAAACCCUUCUUUAUAGCAUUAUUGUUUCCUUAAACUGAAAAAACAUUUGAAGAGCUAAUAAAGUCUUGAACUAGCAGUCUAUUUUAAAGAACAAACUUUUGGUUUUACCAUUAAAUAA
rnacentral:lncRNA from 1 species